UUUAGUUCACAAUGCCGUUCAAGCCUGCGAUCAGCUACGAUGCGCAAAAUAAAAUAUGGAGUGGGCCUGAUACACAGGACUAUUUUGCGCCGGACUUAUCCAUUGGCCAAAUUAUAUUCCACGAGAUGCGACGACAUCCUAAACUAAUAGCACAAGUCUCGCCAACGGAAAAUACGAGCUUAACCAGAGAGGAACUACAUUUGAAUUCGAUGCGUGUGGCAAGUUAUUUUAGGCAGUUGGGCUUAGCACAAACAGAUUUUGUUGGAAUCAUAGCAAGAAAUACAACACACAUGUCCGCUGUGGCCUAUGGAUGCUUCUUCAAUGGCAUUGCUUUUCAUUCUCUCAAUGUGACGUAUUGAGCAGGCCACUAUCGAAAAGGCAUUUUUGGUAUAACCAAACCGCGUUCUGAUAUUCUGCGAUGGUGAUGAGUACGAAAAAGUAAAAGCAGGCCACGUCGACGUUGGAAUGUUAAAUUUAAUCACAAUGCGCAAUCAUCAAAGUGGCGUGAAUGAGCAUUGAGCGAGAUUCUAGGAGAACUCCUGUUGAGUCCUCACUUUGAGCCUGCGUGCCUAGAGCAAGGGAAACAAGCAAACGUUGGCUAUACUUUGCUCAUCAGGCACUACAGGAUUACCAAAGGCUGUGACCAUUUCAAAUAGUAGAAAGAUUCUUAAUUGCGCCACCUAUCUAACAACUGCUGACGUGCAAUUUUCUCAGAGCACUAUGGAUUGGUUAACGUGCCUCGUAACGACUGUGACAUCAGGAGUAUACAGUACCAAACGUAUUAUCGUCGAUACUCCUUUUGAUCCUGCAUAUUUUCUACGUAUGGUCGAGGAGUACAAAGUUACGUGGGUGCUGCAGUCGCCUUCGCAUAUGGCAAUGACCACAAACUGCGCAGAGUUUAAGACUGCCAAUUUACAAAGUAUGCGAGCAUAUCUUUAUGGAGGAGGCAAGUGCUCGGUGCAGGCGCAGCACGAUAUACGAAAUCGUUUGCCUUUCGACUGCUUGCAUCUGGCUUAUGGCUUUACUGAGUCUGGAUCAACGGUUACAAUUAAUUGGAAUUUCGAUGAGAAACCUAAUUCCUGUGGACGUCCUGUGGCAGGCUAUAAAUUGAAAAUACUGGAUGAAGCGGGUGUAGCACUCGGACCCAACCAAGUGGGCGAGGUUUGUGCUUAUAGCGGCAAGUACUGGGCUGGCUACUACAACAACCCAACGGAGUCACAAAAUGUACGCGAUUCGAAGCUUUGGUUUCACACUGGUGACUUGGGCUACAUGGAUGACGACGGCUUUCUCUACAUUGUGGAGCGAAAGAAGGAUAUGCUCAAGUAUCAGAAUAUCAUGUACUAUCCUAACGAAAUCGAAGACGUUAUUAGUCAAAUGCCUGGCGUGUCUGAAGUUUGUGUAUUCGGCGUAUGGGAUCAAUGUAAUGGUGAUGGAGCUGCAGCAGCUGUGGUUAAGAAGCACGACGCUGAUAUUCAUGCACAGGAUGUUGUUAAUUAUGUAAAGAAACAUAUUAGCGCUAGUUACAAGCACUUACAUUGCGGUGCUUUAAUAGUAAAUGAAUUACAGCAAAAUACCAAUGGUAAGACGAAUCGCAUUGCAACUAAGGCUCAUUUCCUAAAGGUUAAGGGCAUAAAGGAAGAAUAGAAGCUUUAACAAUAGCAAAAAACCAUUUUUAAUAAGUUAAAAAAUAAGUUCUUCAUUUAAUACUAAUGCAUGUUAAUUACAACUUUAUACUAUUAA